rnacentral:rRNA from 1 species
AGAGUUUGAUCCUGGCUCAGGACGAACGCUGGCGGUGUGCUUAACACAUGCAAGUCGAACGGUAAGGCCCUUUCGGGGGUACACGAGUGGCGAACGGGUGAGUAACACGUGAGUAACCUGCCCUCAUCUCUGGGAUAACAGUCGGAAACGGUUGCUAAUACUGGAUAUGAGCCUGCAAGGCAUCUUGUGGGUUGGAAAGAUUUUUUGGUUGGGGAUGGACUCGCGGCCUAUCAGCUUGUUGGUGAGGUAGUGGCUCACCAAGGCUUCGACGGGUAGCCGGCCUGAGAGGGCGACCGGCCACAUUGGGACUGAGAUACGGCCCAAACUCCUACGGGAGGCAGCAGUGGGGAAUAUUGCACAAUGGACGGAAGUCUGAUGCAGCAACGCCGCGUGCGGGAUGACGGCCUUCGGGUUGUAAACCGCUUUCAAUUGUGACGAAGCUUUUUUGUGACGGUAGCAGUAGAAGAAGCACCGGCUAACUACGUGCCAGCAGCCGCGGUGAUACGUAGGGUGCGAGCGUUGUCCGGAUUUAUUGGGCGUAAAGAGCUUGUAGGUGGUUUGUCGCGUCGGGAGUGAAAACUCAGGGCUUAACUCUGAGCUUGCUUUCGAUACGGGCUGACUUGAGGGAGGUAGGGGAGAAUGGAAUUCCUGGUGGAGCGGUGGAAUGCGCAGAUAUCAGGAGGAACACCGGUGGCGAAGGCGGUUCUCUGGACCUUUCCUGACGCUGAGAAGCGAAAGCGUGGGGAGCGAACAGGCUUAGAUACCCUGGUAGUCCACGCCGUAAACGGUGGGUACUAGGUGUGGGGGACAUUCCACGUUCUCCGUGCCGUAGCUAACGCAUUAAGUACCCCGCCUGGGGAGUACGGCCGCAAGGCUAAAACUCAAAGGAAUUGACGGGGCCCCGCACAAGCGGCGGAGCAUGCGGAUUAAUUCGAUGCAACGCGAAGAACCUUA